ACAUAAAAUGAAUGGCAAAGAUCAUGAUUAGUAAAAUAAAAAGAAGUGUUACCAUUAAAAACCAGGAACAAACUUACUUGUACUUAAAUUGUUUUGAAAGUACAAACCAAUGCAGUAAGAAAAUAAGUUAAAGUAUCAAGUAUAUACAAAUGGAGGCAAAUUUAUUAUUAUUUGCACAUGAUAAGAUUGUAUACAUGGAAAGAGAAUCAGCUGAAGAACUGUUUUAAUGGUAAGAGAAUUUUAGAGAUCGGCUGGUUAAAAAAUUAAUAUAUAAAAUUAAAUAGCUUCCUAGACACAAAUAGUAAAGUUAGAAAAUCAAAUGCAGCAAAGAUCUAAUUUACAACAGCAACAAAAGAGUUACAUUGUCUAGGAAUAAACUGGAAAAAUGUUCAUUGUUGGAAGCAAAUGAUGAAACUCUACUGAGGCAUAAAUGAAGAAAUUGAAAAAAGGAAAAGGCACAUUUCUUAUGGAUACAUAGGUAUCUUGUUCACCAAUUAGAGAUCAAAAGUCACAAGCUCUCAGACAAUUUGAACCAAACUGUGCCAGUCACUUCAGUAAGAGGGAUGAGGUUUCACUAUCUGGCUUCAUGCUUUUGGUAUUGGUAAAGGUGCUUAAAAAUAGGAUUAGUGAAAAAAGUAUGGCUAAGAUGGAACAGUGGUCCUCAGAGUUAAGAACACAUCAUAAUCAAGCAGGGCUUGUUAAGACACAGGUUUCUUGGUUCCUCUUUCAGAGUUUUCAAUCUUAUAGGUCCUGGAUGAGGCCUCAGGUUGUAUAUUUCUAACAAAUUCCCAGGUGAUGUUGAUGCUGCCGGUUCUAUGCUUUGGAAGCCCCUGGCGUAGAGAACGAUUUAUGCAAAAAUCCCUUUCCAAGUCAUACAGCAUAGAGAGCUUUGUCCUGGAUACUGCUGUAAACAGAAGACAUCAAAAGUAGCUUGGACUCAACCCUUACAGAAUUUAUUCCCUUUCAAAUGGUUCGUGUGACUUGAUUCUUCCUGGACGCUAGACAAGAACCUGGGCGCCGAGAGGGCAGGGGCUGCCACUCUGACCCUCCACUGAGCAGGUUGGCACUUGGCUGUCCCCGGAUGGCAGAGGUGAAAGAGCAUUGGUUGUAACACAUUUGGAUGCUGCUCAGAAGCUUCUCUGCUCACCACUGAGCCACUUGUAGCCUUGAUGCUCAGCUGCUCGUGUUGCUCCACCACCUGAAGUCUUUUA
rnacentral:lncRNA from 1 species